AUCACUUCUUGGCCUUUUGGCUAAGAUUAAGUGUAGCAGCUGUUCUUAUCAGUUUAAUAUCUGAUACACUUGAAAGAGUGAUUUGGCAUUGGAAUGGGCUGCCCAGGGAGGUGGUGGAGUUGCCAUCCCUGGAAGCAUUCAAAAGAAGACUGGGUGAGGCACUUAGUGCCAUGGUCUAGUUGAUUGGA